GUGGGGAAUCUUGCGCAAUGGGCGAAAGCCUGACGCAGCCAUGCCGCGUGAAUGAUGAAGGUCUUAGGAUUGUAAAAUUCUUUCACCGGGGACGAUAAUGACGGUACCCGGAGAAGAAGCCCCGGCUAACUUCGUGCCAGCAGCCGCGGUAAUACGAAGGGGGCUAGCGUUGCUCGGAAUUACUGGGCGUAAAGGGCGUGUAGGCGGACAGUUUAGUCAGAGGUGAAAGCCCAGGGCCCAACCUUGGAAUUGCCUUUGAUACGGGCUGUCUUGAGUACGGGAGAGGUGAGUGGAACUCCGGGUGUAGAGGUGAAAUUCGUAGAUAUUCGGAAGAACACCAGUGGCGAAGGCGACUCACUGGCCCGUUACUGACGCUGAGGCGCGAAAGCGUGGGGAGCAAACAGGAUUAGAUACCCCAGUAGUCC
rnacentral:rRNA from 1 species